rnacentral:rRNA from 1 species
AUUGAACGCUGGCGGCAUGCCUUACACAUGCAAGUCGAGCGGCAGCACGGGAGCAAUCCUGGUGGCGAGUGGCGAACGGGUGAGUAAAGUAUCGGAACGUGCCCAGUCGUGGGGGAUAACGUAGCGAAAGUUACGCUAAUACCGCAUACGAUCUAUGGAUGAAAGCGGGGGAUCGCAAGACCUCGCGCGAUUGUAGCGGUCGAUAUCAGAUUAGGUAGUUUGUGGGGUAAAGGCUCAACAAGCCGACGAUCUGUAGCUGGUCUGAGAGGACGACCGGCCACACUGGGACUGAGACACGGCCCAGACUCCUACGGGAGGCAGCAGUGGGGAAUUUUGGACAAUGGGCGAAAGCCUGAUCCAGCAAUGCCGCGUGCAGGAUGAAGGCCUUCGGGUUGUAAACUGCUUUUGUACGGAACGAAACGGCGAACUCUAAUACAGUUUGCUAAUGACGGUACCGUAAGAAUAAGCACCGGCUAACUACGUGCCAGCCGCCGCGGUAA